GACGAACGCUGGCGGCGUGCCUAAUACAUGCAAGUCGAACGCAGUGGGGACGGGUGAGUAACACGUGGGUAACCUCCCCUCAGAUGGGAUAACACUUGGAAACAGGUGCUAAACCGAUAUUGGUGGCUGGACCCGCGUUGCAUUAGCUAGUGGGUGCGGUAAGGGCUCACCAAGGCCACGAUGCAUAGCAGAACUGAGAGGGGGAUCGGCACCACGGGGACGGAGACACGGCCCAGACUCCAACGGGAGGCAGCAGUAGGGAAUCUUAGGCAAGGGACGAAAGGGUGACCGAGCAACGCCGCGUGAGUGAAGAAGGUUUUCGGAUAGUAAAACUCUGUUGUUAGAGAAGCGGUAUCUAACCAGAAAGCAACGGCUAACUCCGUGCCAGCAGCCGCGGUAAUAC
rnacentral:rRNA from 1 species